GACGAACGCUGGCGGCGUGCUUAACACAUGCAAGUCGAACGCUGAAGCUCAGCUUUUGUUGGGUGGAUGAGUGGCGAACGGGUGAGUAACACGUGAGUAACCUGCCCCCUUCUUUGGGAUAACGCUCGGAAACGGGUGCUAAUACUGGAUAUUCACUGGUCUUCGCAUGGGGGUUGGUGGAAAGGGUUUUUCUGGUGGGGGAUGGGCUCGCGGCCUAUCAGCUUGUUGGUGGGGUGAUGGCCUACCAAGGCUUUGACGGGUAGCCGGCCUGAGAGGGUGACCGGUCACAUUGGGACUGAGAUACGGCCCAGACUCCUACGGGAGGCAGCAGUGGGGAAGAUUGCACAAUGGGCGCAAGCCUGAUGCAGCGACGCCGCGUGAGGGAUGGAGGCCUUCGGGUUGUGAACCUCUUUCGCUCAUGGUCAAGCCGCAACAAUGGUUGUGGUGAGGGUAGUGGGUAAAGAAGCGCCGGCUAACUACGUG
rnacentral:rRNA from 1 species